rnacentral:rRNA from 1 species
GACGAACGCUGGCGGCAGGCCUAACACAUGCAAGUCGAACGCUCCGCAAGGGAGUGGCGCACGGGUGAGUAACACGUGGGAACCUACCUUCUGGUACGGAACAACCAAGGGAAACUUUGGCUAAGACCGUAUACGACCUCCGGGUGAAAGAUUGAUCGCCGGAAGAGGGGCCCGCGUCCGAUUAGGUAGUUGGUGAGGUAACGGCUCACCAAGCCUUCGAUCGGUAGCUGGUCUGAGAGGAUGACCAGCCACACUGGGACUGAGACACGGCCCAGACUCCUACGGGAGGCAGCAGUGGGGAAUAUUGCACAAUGGGCGAAAGCCUGAUGCAGCGACGCCGCGUGAGGGAUGACGGCCUGUUGUAACUCUUCGCACGGACGAAGCGAGAGUGACGGUACCGU